rnacentral:lncRNA from 1 species
CCGUUACUCUGGAUCACGGACUCGAGAUAAUUGAAACUAUCCCUCUUACAUACCUCAUGUGAUUCCAGCUUCACUACUACCUCAUUCUCCCGCCUCACGUCAUUAAACUUGCAUUCCAUAUACUCUAUCUUGCUUCUGCUCACCCUGAACCCUUUAGACUCAAGAGUUUGCCUCCACACCUCUAAUUUGUCAUUCACACCCCCUCGAGUCUCAUCUAUCAGAACUACAUCGUCUGCAAAAAGCAUACACCAAGGCACCUCCCCUUGAAUACGCCNNNNNNNN